rnacentral:lncRNA from 1 species
GAAGAAGGAGGUUGGUCGUCGCUGGGACCGUGGGGCCAAUUAGGCCCGCACAUGAACCACUCAUCUAUGAUCUCAUCUCCAUUACCAAUCAACAGAGUUCUUCAUAAUCAGCACUGAAUUCACAUUUAUCAUUAAGAUGGGUUGUUUAAGCCUGUACUAGUCGGUCUAACAUCAUCGCGAACUCCAAAGUUUUAGUGCUUGGAAUUGAUUGCGAGCAUCCAACGAUCGAAGCACUACGAGUCAUCUACAAGUUC